AUACUUACCCGGCAGGGGUGAUGCCGUGAUGCCGUGGUUCACUCAAGGCGAGGCUCUGCCAUUGCGCUUCGGUGGUGCUGACCCUUGGGAAUUUCCCAAAUGUGGGAAUUGCGACUGCAUCAUUUUCUGGUAGUGGGGGACUGCGAUGGGGCAGUCGCGGU